rnacentral:rRNA from 1 species
AAGAGACAGCAGUAGCCGCGGUAAUACGUAGGGUGCAAGCGUUAAUCGGAAUUACUGGGCGUAAAGCGUGCGCAGGCGGUUAUAUAAGUCAGAUGUGAAAUCCCCGGGCUCAACCUGGGAACUGCAUUUGAGACUGUAUGGCUAGAGUGUGUCAGAGGGGGGUAGAAUUCCACGUGUAGCAGUGAAAUGCGUAGAUAUUCGGAGGAACACCAGUGGCGAAGGCGGCUCACUGGUCCAUUACUGACGCUGAGGUGCGAAAGCGUGGGGAGCAAACAGGAUUAGAUACCCGAGUAGUCCCUGUCUCUUAUAC